rnacentral:tRNA from 1 species
UGGGAUAUAGCUCAGUGGUAGAGUACAUGCUUAGCAUGUAUGAGGUCCUGGGUUCAAUCCCCAGUACCUCCC